rnacentral:snoRNA from 1 species
AGGCGAAGGUCCCAGCAGGGAGGUAUGAACUCUAUUAAUUGAGACCUCUCUAACACUAAAAUAUACCCUUCGCAGAUUGAGAUUUUAGUAUCGGUCGAUUCGUAGGACGCCCCAAAUUUCUUUGAUUUUUGGUGCGUCUUUAAAAUUCGGCUACAUUGAU